rnacentral:rRNA from 1 species
CCUACGGGGCGCAGCAGUGAGGAAUAUUGGUCAAUGGGCGGAAGCCUGAACCAGCCAGGUCGCGUGAGGGAAUAAGGCCCUACGGGUCGUAAACCUCUUUUGCCGGGGAGCAAGGGCCGGGACGCGUCCCGGCCCGGAGAGUACCCGGAGAAAAAGCAUCGGCUAACUCCGUGCCAGCAGCCGCGGUAAUACGGAGGAUGCGAGCGUUAUCCGGAUUUAUUGGGUUUAAAGGGUGCGUAGGCGGGCUUUUAAGUCAGCGGUAAAAAUUCGGGGCUCAACCCCGUCCGUCCGUUGAAACUGGGGGC